rnacentral:tRNA from 1 species
GGGUGAUUAGCUCAGCUGGGAGAGCACCUCCCUUACAAGGAGGGGGUCGGCGGUGCGAUCCCGUCAUCACCCACCA